GGGAGAGUAGCUCAGUUGGUAGAGCACCGCCCUUUUAAGGCGAUGGUCGACGGUUCGAGCCCGUCCUCUCUCA
rnacentral:tRNA from 2 species